GGGGCCGUAACGGGUUCGACGGGGGUGUUGAAGCCGGGAUAGCGGGCCGCAGCGGGGAUCUGCGCUAAAAGCUCCAACUGUUUAUAAAUUAAACAACAACGAUUAUACUCUUCAGGCUGCCUAAUUAAGGCUUAGCCCGUCGGCUCAGAGAGGACCACGGCUUUGAGACCCGGCGUCGAUUAGUGGUGAACGUGUACGGGGUAAGAGUUGCCCCCGUCAUGUAAGAUGACUCUACUGAAGUGACCAGCCUGUUUGCCGGCGUGUCAUGGAGGGAAUGCCAAAAGACAAACUGCGCCCGGAGAAGUCACGGUGGAUGUGCUUUCGGACAGGGGUUCAACUCCCCUCGGCUCCACCA
rnacentral:tmRNA from 2 species